rnacentral:rRNA from 1 species
UACGAAGGGGGCUAGCGUUGUUCGGAAUUACUGGGCGUAAAGGGCUCGUAGGUGGCCAAUUAAGUCAGACGUGAAAUCCCCAGGCUCAACUUGGGAACUGCGUCUGAUACUGGUUGGCUUGAAUUCGGGAGAGGGAUGCAGAAUUCCAGGUGUAGCGGUGAAAUGCGUAGAUAUCUGGAGGAAUACCGGUGGCGAAGGCGGCAUCCUGGACCGAGAUUGACACUGAUGAGCGAAAGCCAGGGGAGCAAACGGG